rnacentral:rRNA from 1 species
UACGUAGGGCGCAAGCGUUAUCCGGAAUUAUUGGGCGUAAAGAGCUCGUAGGCGGUUUGUCGCGUCUGCCGUGAAAGUCCGGGCUCAACUCCGGAUCUGCGGUGGGUACGGGCAGACUAGAGUGAUGUAGGGGAGACUGGAAUUCCUGGUGUAGCGGUGAAAUGCGCAGAGUAUCAGGAGGAACACCGGCGGCGAAGGCGGGUCUCUGGGCCGUAACUGACGCUGGAGGAGCGAAGCGUGGGGAGCGAACAGG